rnacentral:lncRNA from 1 species
UUUAAAACAACAAAUUGGAUUGCUCUUUCAUUAGCCUUUAUAAGCAAUUUAUAUUUGCUAGACACAAAUAAGCCCAACUUCAGGAAAAUCAUCUAAGCAUCUUUUUAGAGGGGAUUUAAAGUUUCUUAAUGGUUCUAGAUGUCCCAAGAAAUCCUAGACCCCUUGUAUCCAAAACAAAUCAGGUUUUAGAUGGGAAGAAAUUAUUUUGCUGGCACUCUUUCUUAGGUUCGGUAGAAAGUCAAACAUUUUAUAUUAGGCCAAAGAAAUAGUGUCCUAUUGCAUUAUUUCUCUGGUGGAUUAUGCAACAAUUAAAGAAUAAGCCAGAGACCUUUGUUAAUAAUGUAUAAUUUGAAAAUAAAGACAGUACUUCAUUCCUUGUUAAAACAAGCUCGUUAACCAGUCUAAGAGACCCAGAUACCAACACAACGAUAUGGCCGGAGACCAUAUGGUGUUGGUCUCCUUAUUGCUGGUUAUGAUGAUAUGGGCCCUCACAUUUUCCAAACCUGUCCAUCUGCUAACUAUUUUGACUGCAGAGCCAUGUCCAUUGGAGCCCGUUCCCAAUCAGCUCGUACUUACUUGGAGAGACAUAUGUCUGAAUUUAUGGAGUGUAAUUUAAAUGAACUAGUUAAACAUGGUCUGCGUGCC